rnacentral:pre_miRNA from 1 species
GUGUGUGGAUGGUGUUCAGUACCAGGGACAGAUGUGUUACCUGUGUGUGAAUAGUGUUCAGGACCAGGGACAGAUGUGUUUACCU